GUAGCACAAUCACUUGUUCUUUAAAUGGGGACUAGUAUCAAUGGCAUCACGAGGGUCUUACUGUCUCCUCACUCCAAUCAGUGAAACUGAUCUUCCCGUGAAGAAGCGGGAAUAAAUAUAUAAGACGAGAAGACCCCAUGGAGCUUUAAACCCAACAGCAUCUAUUAUUUUAUGUCCUCAUAAACGCUUAGUUAAUGCUUGUUUGGUUUUGGGUUGGGGUGACCAUGGAGUAAAAAAUAUCCUCCACGAAGAAAGGGAUAAUGGCCCUUAUUAAAGAUUACACUUCGAUAAAUUAGUAUACUAAUUUCCAAUGAUCCGAUAUUCGAUCAACGAACCAAGUUACCCUGGGGAUAACAGCGCAAUCCGCCUUAAGAGCUCUUAUCGACAGGCGGGUUUACGACCUCGAUGUUGGAUCAGGGUCUCCCAGUGGUGCAGCAGCUACUAAAGGUUCGUUUGUUCAACGAUUAAAACCCU
rnacentral:rRNA from 1 species